rnacentral:rRNA from 1 species
CUACAGGCUUAACACAUGCAAGUCGAGGGGUAACGAGAGGAAAGCUUGCUUUCCUUGUCGACGACCGGCGCACGGGUGAGUAACGCGUAUCCAACCUGCCCCCAACUAAGGAAUAACCUUGCGAAAGUAAGACUAAUACCUUAUAAUUUCCUCAGAUGUCAUCUGACGAGGAAUAAAGAUUUAUCGGUUGUGGAUGGGGAUGCGUCUGAUUAGCUUGUUGGCGGGGUAACGGCCCACCAAGGCAACGAUCAGUAGGGGUUCUGAGAAGAAGGUCCCCCACAUUGGAACUGAGACGCGGCCCAAACUCCUACGGGAGGCAGCAGUGAGGAAUAUUGGUCAAUGGGCGGAAGCCUGAACCAGCCAAGUAGCGUGAAGGAUGACGG